AAGAGGAUGGGACUUGCCCCUUUUUGUUGUGGCAGCUUAAGCCUCCCAGAGACAUCAAGUCUAAAAGAUGUUGCUGCAGCAUAACCUGUGGCGGCUUUGCAGGCUGAAUUUCUGCACUAAUGCAAUCCUCCCUCACCUCACCAGCUAAUCAUGCUCCUCUUUGGAUUAAUGUUAGUUUUACUCAUCAAAAGUAAAACUACUGCAAAGAAGCCUCUUCACAGGCUGAUUUUAAAACAUCCUCAAAAGCAAAAAGGCUGAAGCCACGUUCAGCUGGUGACAGACUAAUGGCCUCAGUGUUCCUGCAUGUGAACAACAGACGUUACUGGGAAGGGAGGGACAUCUUGAUCAAAGAGCUUGAGGAAAGGAGUGACCCCCAGUCCCUCAGCUGCCACCCUUCUGCAGUGAUCAACCAUAUGGACACCUUCCCACCCUGGAUUUAAUCAGUUCUUUCGCUAGAUUUAACAACUACAGAACAACGAAUGAUACUUUCGCAUUGAAGCUCUAGUCCCGUUCCCAUUGCCACCACAGGCACCCCUGCACCAGGCAGGACCACAGGCAGGCUGGGACCCUGCAUGGCCCCAAGCAGGCCAGGGGAUGCUGCUGGUGGGGGCUGGAGCCAUGGGUGACACGCAGAAAUCUUGGGGUUUGCUCCAAGCCUGUAAAAGGACACAAAUAACUUCACAACGAGCAAUGCUCUUGAGUGAAGUCAGCCUGGAGAAAACAAGCAGCUGCCUCUGGUAGCUGAAUCAGGCUGCUCUGUGUAGGACACGAGGGCUCAGCCCCCCCAUACCCGG